rnacentral:rRNA from 1 species
UAUGUGAUCGUCUCUCGCAUAUCAAUAAGCGGAGGAAAAGAAACUAACAAGGAUUCCCCUAGUAACGGCGAGUGAAGCGGGAAGAGCUCAAAUUUGAAAUCUUAAAGGGUUUCCCUUUACGAAUUGUAGUUUAAAGAAGUGUUUUCUGUUGAGGUUUUGGUAAAAGUUCUUUGGAAUAGGACAUCAUAGAGGGUGAGAAUCCCGUAUUUGACCUUUACUUUCAACUUUGUGAUACACUUUCAAAGAGUCGGAUUGUUUGGGAAUGCAGUCCAAAAUGGGUGGUAAAUUUCAUCUAAAGCUAAAUAUUGGCGAAGAGACCGAUAGCGAACAAGUACCGUGAGGGAAAGAUGAAAAGAACUUUGAAAAGAGAGUUAAACAGUACGUGAAAUUGUCAAAAGGGAAGCGUUUGACACCAGUGUUGUUUUUCUGAAAAUCAAUUAAAGAACUGUUUAUGCUAAGUUGUUUAGACUUUAUCAGCUAACUGUUUAGUUUUGAGCUUUUCUUUAAUGCACUUUUCAGUUAACAAGUCAACAUCAAUUUCUUUUGCUGCUAAAAAAGCUUGAGGAAGGUGGCUUGAGAUUCGUCUUAAGUGUUUAUAGCCUCUUGCCUAUGCAGUCGGAGAGAUUGAGGUCUGCAGCGUAGAUCCUUCGGGGCUAAAUGCAUUUGUGCUAAGUUAUAGCAUUUUAUAGACAACUUGCUGACUAUGAUUUGUCUUAGUAGCUUACUCGCUUAUGUUAUUUUACCUACGCUUAGGAUGUUGAUCUACAGAGCGAGAGU